UAAAAACGAGCGUCAACAAGUCACUAGUCCUUAAGGAAUACAACUCAACAGGUGUGAACUGUAUUCCAUUUAAAAACACAGAUACUCCUGCUCAUCACCAUCCAGCUGAACCAUUACUGGCUCAACUUAAAGAUGAAUUCCUGGGACUAAAUAAAUUAAUUGGGCUUUGUGAUCAGCUGGUGAAACUAUAUCCACCU